rnacentral:rRNA from 1 species
AACGAACGCUGGCGGCAUGCCUAACACAUGCAAGUCGAACGAGACCUUCGGGUCUAGUGGCGCACGGGUGCGUAACGCGUGGGAACCUGCCCUUAGGUUCGGAAUAACUCCCCGAAAGGGGUGCUAAUACCGGAUAAUGUCUUCGGACCAAAGAUUUAUCGCCUUUGGAUGGGCCCGCGUUGGAUUAGCUAGUUGGUAGGGUAAAAGCCCACCAAGGCGACGAUCCAUAGCUGGUCUGAGAGGAUGAUCAGCCACACUGGGACUGAGACACGGCCCAGACUCCUACGGGAGGCAGCAGUGGGGAAUAUUGGACAAUGGGCGAAAGCCUGAUCCAGCAAUGCCGCGUGAGAGAUGAAGGCCUUAGGGUUGUAAAGCUCUUUUACCCGGGAUGAUAAUGACAGUACCGGGAGAAUAAGCUCCGGCUAACUCCGUG